ACGGUUAGAUUCUUCUACGGAUAACACAUUCACAAUAAUAAUCAAUACAAUUUGGAAACCUAUGAGGUGGACAGGAUAAGUUACUACAAUCUUCUUGUACUAAACAUUUUGUUUCCCUAACAAUUGUGUCAGAAUUUAGGUUUGUAAGUUGGUUUCUACUAUCAACGACCACAUUUUUCUCGGAUUUUGCAAAUUGAACUCUUGAGGCUGCAAUAACAGAAAAACACAUACAUAUUAUUGAGCAUUCUUUAUAAAUGCAUGAAACAUAUGCGGAUCAUAUUAAAUAUCAAAAAGCAUGAGAAGUAUGGAGAGGGGAUAACCGGUAGUGAUCACCAAUAUGGUGAAAAACAUAAUUUUGAAGAAAGCAUUCAUCUUUCCUGUCGAUUUUGCUUUGAGAG
rnacentral:lncRNA from 1 species